GAUAUUUUAAUUCAAAAGUUAAAUUUUAAAUUUUAACAUUUAAAUUGAAGUAAACGUAAAGAAAAAAUAAAGAAAGUAGGAUAUGAGAGGAAGUGAAGGAGUGUAAAUCAAUAGCGUGAGGUAAGAAAUAAAUAGAGUAAGGUAAGAAAGAAGGUGAAUGGAGAAAGCAAUGAGAAAUAAGAAAAAGAUGAGAGAGAAAAAAUGAGAAGGGAAUGAGUGGGAGAGAAGUGAGAAGGGAAUGAGUGAGAAAUGAGAAGGGAAUGAGUAAGAAAGAAGAAAGGUACAUAGACUAAAGAGAGAGAAAUGAAAAGGGAAUGAGUGAGAAAUGCAGAUAAAAAAAUGAAAAAAUGAGAAAAUAAAAAAAUUGAAGAUAGAGAGAAGUAAGGAGAUGAUGUGAAAAUAAUUAAAAGAAAUGUUG
rnacentral:lncRNA from 1 species